GAUGAACGCUGGCGGCGUGCCUAACACAUGCAAGUCGAACGGAGCUUAGUGGAAGGAGACUUCGGUCAACGGAAGUUAAGCUUAGUGGCGGACGGGUGAGUAACGCGUGAGCAACCUGCCUCAGAUUGGGGGACAACAGCUGGAAACGGCUGCUAAUACCGCAUAAUAUUAUUGGAAGGCAUCUUCUGACAAUCAAAGCUUUAUGUGCUCUGAGAUGGGCUCGCGUCUGAUUAGAUAGUUGGUGGGGUAACGGCCUACCAAGUCGACGAUCAGUAGCCGGACUGAGAGGUUGAACGGCCACAUUGGGACUGAGAUACGGCCCAGACUCCUACGGGAGGCAGCAGUGGGGAAUAUUGGUCAAUGGGGGAAACCCUGAACCAGCAACGCCGCGUGAAGGAGAACGCUUUCGGGUUGUAACUUCUUUUAUCUGUGACGAUGUGACGGUAGCAGAUGAAUAAGCCACGGCUACUACGUGCCAGCAGCCGCGGUAUACGUAGUGCAGCGUAUCCGAUUUACUGGGUGUAAAGGCGCGUACGGGGGCAGUCGAUUGUGAACUAUAGGUUAUCUGAACUCGCAUUGAACAUGGUCCUCUCUCUCUGUCAUGGAGAGGAGCGCGAUAUCUCGUGUGUGGGGGAGUACGUGAUAUAUAUAUAAAAACAACU
rnacentral:rRNA from 1 species